rnacentral:misc_RNA from 1 species
GGAAAUAAAAGUCGUAACAAGGUUUCCGUAGGUGAACCUGCGGAAGGAUCAUUAACACGUAUCCACGUACUACACACGCGAACUACAUUCGGAGUGGGAUUCAUUGAAUUUCGGUUCUUGGGUCUCAUAGAUUGCGUUAACAGGCUUCUAGCUAAGGUCCGCGAUGGUGUUUGUUUGAUCUAGCUUUUGUGUUUGAGGGGCCAGUAUCUUGAAGUCCCUUGCUUCUUAUGGUUUACGGAAGCAAGACCGUAUUCUCGAGACUGUCCAAUCAAGCUUGCGAGAGUGAUCAUCUAACACUGGACUCUAGUUUCUUCUUCUUUCCAUCUUAACAAUCUUAUUAUUCUCACACUACGUGUGGGUUUUAAGACUUCGUUCUGGUGGAGUAGAUGCUUUAUUAACCCCAACCAUAACAUAUUGUUACUAAACAACUGUAAAAGCUGAUUCGUAUUCGUACGAACUUCUUUUAAACCGAACGCUGAACAACUCUUAGCAACGGAUCUCUUGGUUCUG